rnacentral:tRNA from 1 species
GCGGCCGUAGUCUAGCCUGGACAGGAUGCCGGCCCUCCAAGCCGGAGACCCGGGUUCAAAUCCCGGCGGCCGCACCA